rnacentral:rRNA from 1 species
UACGGAAGGCAGCAGUGGGGAAUAUUGCACAAUGGGCGCAAGCCUGAUGCAGCCAUGCCGCGUGUAUGAAGAAGGCCUUCGGGUUGUAAAGUACUUUCAGUCGUGAGGAAGGUGUUAAGGUUAAUAACCUUAGCAAUUGACGUUAGCGACAGAAGAAGCACCGGCUAACUCCGUGCCAGCAGCCGCGGUAAUACGGAGGGUGCGAGCGUUAAUCGGAAUUACUGGGCGUAAAGGGCACGCAGGCGGUUAAUUAAGUUGGAUGUGAAAUCCCCGGGCUUAACCUGGGAAUGGCAUUCAAGACUGGUUAGCUAGAGUCUUGUAGAGGGGGUAGAAUUCCAUGUGUAGCGGUGAAAUGCGUAGAGAUGUGGAGGAAUACCGGUGGCGAAGGCGGCCCCUGGACAAAGACUGACGCUCAUGUGCGAAAGCGUGGGGAGCAAACAGGGAUUAUACC